GAACUAAAAGCUUUUUGUUCUGCUUCUUAAUAGUGCCUAGCAGAAAUUAUCCUGUGAAACCACCUCCGUGUUUCACCUCACACAGGAAAUCAGACUGCCAGACUUUGUAACAGAAUUUACAUCCUUUAGGGCGCUAUACGAAUUUCUCUUGCACUCAAGCAGCUUCACCCUGCAGAAGGUCAUCCUCACUCUAAGAAGGAAAGUGAUGUUGAACAACAAAGGCAGGCUGGCAGACAACCAUCUGACCUUGAGGUGCAUCACCUCUGACAUCUGAAAAAUAGCAAUGUCGAGCAGUGUACAAGGAUUACUUAAAAUGCAGCAUUGCUAUUUGAAGUGCAUACUUUUUACAAAAUAUACAGUCAGCUAGCAUAUAAACAUAUCUAUCAUAUAUUGCCAUCAAUGUCUUUCUCAAAGAAAACUUUGUUACCAACAUGCCUAAAAAACCCCAGGUGUUUGAAAUUUUGUAGAGACUGACGACAGGCUUCCUAGGACACUUUGGUGAGUGUUGUAUUUCUUUUUAUAUUUGUAAAGGAACAUGCAUAUAUAGGACUCUGGUAUUAAAUCUAUACACUCAUUAUUAAGAUAACCAUUAAAUAGUUACUUUUGAGAUCUCUUGCUUUCCAUAAUCUCUGCUUUUAGUAUAAGAAGGCUAAGUUUAAAUUAAAAAAAAAAAAAACUAAUUUUAAUGGCAGCAUGCUUCUAAUUUUGAAAACUAACUCCAAAGAUUUAUCUUGGUGGCUGUUUGUUGGUAUAGACAAGUUUGACUGUUUUGAUGGCACUGUCCAUUUUUUCAAAAACCCAGCGUAAGUUGAUGUUAAACUUUCCUGUGUGUUUUCUGUAUAGAGAAAUUUAGAUAGAGAAACUCUUGUUGUAUUUUUCCAAUUUGAUUCUGACUAGGGUUUCAAUUCCUUAAGAGGUAAGGAGUUACAAGUGGACACUGAUUAGGAAGUUUCAACUAUCCAGUCUUAAUGAUUGUUGAUAUUUCACUUAUUAGUAACUAUGCUUUAUGAAACAGAACUCUAAUAGUGAAUUUAGAUAAUUACACUGCUAGUCUUCGCUCAUCCUUAUAACUAUUUCCUUUUUUAUCAAACUUUUGAUAUUUAAAACCAGUGUGGUGUCAUUCUGGAUACGACUAAAUUUCUGAAUUGUUUCAUUUCCUCUUAAUGAAAGGGCUGCCAUGUUUUGCUUUAUAAUGUAGUUGGUAAUUUCUGCUGAUAUAAAAAGCUGUCAAAAGCUUAUUUUUAAAAAGUGAAAUAAAAGCUAAGUUUAUUCUUGACCUCUGGUGCA
rnacentral:lncRNA from 1 species